CUGCGAGCGGCGGGUUAUAGCGGCACCCCGGGGACGCGUCAGUGGGCGGGACCGCGGCCGCCCGGGCGCCUUCUCUUUGUACCUGCUUUCACUCUUCAAAACUAGCCGGAGGUCGGCGAGCAGCUCCUUUUCGGGAUGUGCUUUUUGUACGGCCAUGGAAACUGGACUAGCGGAAAGGCUACCUUUUGGCCAGCAAGCCAGGCCCCUUAGAAAGAGGCCCCAGUGGGGAGCCCGGCGCUCCUAAGGCCGUUUGGGAGUCCCCAGUUUUCCACUCGCUGACACGUUGCUUCUCUUAUCCCACCACCGCCGCCCCGGGCAAAGGCACUGCCUUGUCUGAAUGCGGGUCUGAGGCGCUUUCUGCGGAGCCUGGUCCUUUCCCUUCAAUGGUGAUGUGUGUGGUCUUGCUGAGCCAGGCAACUAGGGGGACCCUUCGCUGUGGAAAAAUUGGUGCUGCGGGAAAGGCAAGACUCACUCCCUUGCAGGAAACAAAGACCCCUUAGGAGAGAGAAAUGUUCAUGGAAUGAAUGAAUAAACAAGUUUGACCUA